AGUGAACGCUGGCGGUAGGCCUAACACAUGCAAGUCGAACGGCAGCACAGUAAGAGCUUGCUCUUACGGGUGGCGAGUGGCGGACGGGUGAGGAAUACAUCGGAAUCUACUUUUUCGUGGGGGAUAACGUAGGGAAACUUACGCUAAUACCGCAUACGACCUACGGGUGAAAGCAGGGGAUCUUCGGACCUUGCGCGAUUGAAUGAGCCGAUGUCGGAUUAGCUAGUUGGCGGGGUAAAGGCCCACCAAGGCGACGAUCCGUAGCUGGUCUGAGAGGAUGAUCAGCCACAAUGGAACUGAGACACGGUCCAGACUCCUACGGGAGGCAGCAGUGGGGAAUAUUGGACAAUGGGCGCAAGCCUGAUCCAGCCAUACCGCGUGGGUGAAGAAGGCCUUCGGGUUGUAAAGCCCUUUUGUUGGGAAAGAAAAGCAGCAGGUUAAUACCCCGCUGUUCCGACGGUACCCAAAGAAUAAGCACCGGCUAACUUCGUG
rnacentral:rRNA from 1 species